rnacentral:lncRNA from 1 species
UUCAGGAGCCCGCCUGAAGAGAGGAAUGGCGUUUAUUUUUAAAGUUGUUGUUGAAGUUGGGAGCCCACCCAUAGAACAGAGGCAUACAUUUCAGUCUUUUCAUUUCAAGUGUUGAAGUUGGGAGCCCGCCCAUAUAACAGAGGAAUACAUUCAGCAUUAAUUUUCAAGUAUUAAAGUUGGGAGUCCGCCCAUAGAACAGAGGCAUACAUUUCAGUCUUUACAUUUCAGAGUUGAAGUUGGGAGCCCGCCCAUAGAACAGAGGCAUACAUUUCAGUCUUUACAUUUCAGUGUUGAAGUUGGGAGCCCGCCCAUAGAACAGAGGCAUACAUUCAGUCUUUACAUUUCAAGUAUUGAAGUUGGGAGCCCGCCCAUAUAACAGAGGAAUACAUUCAGUCUUUAAUUUUAAGUGUUGAAGUUGGGAGCCCGCCCAUAGAACAGAGGCAUACAUUCAGUCUUUACAUUUCAAGUGUUGAAGUUGGGAGCCCGCCCAUAUAACAGAGGAAUACAUUUCAGUCUUUUCAUUUCAAGCGUUGA